GUGAAACACAGCUCGAGGGCUGUUGAUUUUUUUACGGUAGGUGGCGCUGUCGAGCCAUUUUGCCACACCCUCUUCUGAAACCUAUAUCAGACGUAAAUUUUCACCAGGUCUGACGCGUGUGCAAAGUUUCAGGACUUUUCGAGCAUGUUUAGGCCCUCAAAAAUGCGAUUCAUUUUGGAGAAGAAGAAGAAGAAGAAGAAGAAUAAUAAUAAUAAUUAAAGCUGCAAGCAGCGAUGAACGGGCCCUCGCACCCGGGCUCACCACCACCGGGUGGCUUUUGUAAAACAGCGAACGGCGAGAAAUAUGCGUUUAAUGUGGUAAAUAUAAGAGGAAUAUGUCAAAGUCAUUUAUAUGUGCCAAUCUUCCUGCUGCCAGCUGGUGGCGCUAUAACUAUAACUGGAUUUUUGGCAUGUACAUUUCUUCAGUCCUUUCCAAAUAUUUGAAGUUUGGUGCAGAUUGGACAUUGCAUGUUUAAGUUAGUGUAAAACAAGCCAUUUCCUGUUGCCAGCAGGUGGCGCUAUGAUUAUAGUGGAAUAUUGACCUUCAGAUGUGUUCAGGCCAAGACUCUUUUUGAACAUGUGAAGUUUGGGGAAGAUCGGACAUCUUAUGCCUGAGUUACAAUAACUUCUAUUCCCAUGGCGAGACAUCAAACUUUGUCAUGGCGCCAUGGCCACACCCUUUAAUGAAACCUCAAGAUGUUCACAAUUUAACAUCGCAAAGGCCUUUAGAUU
ensembl:lncRNA